rnacentral:rRNA from 1 species
AUGGCAAUAGUACAACGAUGGGGUAAACCGGAUUAUUUUAUCACCAUGACAUGCAAUCCCUACUGGGAGGAGAUAACUAAGGAAAUGUUGCCUGGACAACUGCCGCAAGACCGUCCAGACCUUGUGGCAAGAGUAUACAAAGCUAAAUAGCGAAGUAUGAUGGACCUACUAAUUAAGGGUAAGCAUUUCGAAGAAGUUGUGACUUAUGUAAUGUCACCGAGUUUCAGAAACGAGGUCUCCCUCAUGAGCAUAUACUUUUAA